rnacentral:rRNA from 1 species
CUCAGGAUGAACGCUGGCGGCGUGCUUAACACAUGCAAGUCGAACGGUGAAGCCAAGCUUGCUUGGUGGAUCAGUGGCGAACGGGUGAGUAACACGUGAGCAACCUGCCCUGGACUCUGGGAUAAGCGCUGGAAACGGCGUCUAAUACUGGAUAUGAGCUCCUUCCGCAUGGUGGGGGUUGGAAAGAUUUUUCGGUCUGGGAUGGGCUCGCGGCCUAUCAGCUUGUUGGUGAGGUAAUGGCUCACCAAGGCGUCGACGGGUAGCCGGCCUGAGAGGGUGACCGGCCACACUGGGACUGAGACACGGCCCAGACUCCUACGGGAGGCAGCAGUGGGGAAUAUUGCACAAUGGGCGGAAGCCUGAUGCAGCAACGCCGCGUGAGGGAUGACGGCCUUCGGGUUGUAAACCUCUUUUAGCAGGGAAGAAGCGAAAGUGACGGUACCUGCAGAAAAAGCGCCGGCUAACUACGUGCCAGCAGCCGCGGUAAUACGUAGGGCGCAAGCGUUAUCCGGAAUUAUUGGGCGUAAAGAGCUCGUAGGCGGUUUGUCGCGUCUGCUGUGAAAUCCCGAGGCUCAACCUCGGGCCUGCAGUGGGUACGGGCAGACUAGAGUGCGGUAGGGGAGAUUGGAAUUCCUGGUGUAGCGGUGGAAUGCGCAGAUAUCAGGAGGAACACCGAUGGCGAAGGCAGAUCUCUGGGCCGUAACUGACGCUGAGGAGCGAAAGGGUGGGGAGCAAACAGGCUUAGAUACCCUGGUAGUCCACCCCGUAAACGUUGGGAACUAGUUGUGGGGACCAUUCCACGGUUUCCGUGACGCAGCUAACGCAUUAAGUUCCCCGCCUGGGGAGUACGGCCGCAAGGCUAAAACUCAAAGGAAUUGACGGGGACCCGCACAAGCGGCGGAGCAUGCGGAUUAAUUCGAUGCAACGCGAAGAACCUUACCAAGGCUUGACAUAUACGAGAACGGGCCAGAAAUGGUCAACUCUUUGGACACUCGUAAACAGGUGGUGCAUGGUUGUCGUCAGCUCGUGUCGUGAGAUGUUGGGUUAAGUCCCGCAACGAGCGCAACCCUCGUUCUAUGUUGCCAGCACGUAAUGGUGGGAACUCAUGGGAUACUGCCGGGGUCAACUCGGAGGAAGGUGGGGAUGACGUCAAAUCAUCAUGCCCCUUAUGUCUUGGGCUUCACGCAUGCUACAAUGGCCGGUACAAAGGGCUGCAAUACCGUAAGGUGGAGCGAAUCCCAAAAAGCCGGUCCCAGUUCGGAUUGAGGUCUGCAACUCGACCUCAUGAAGUCGGAGUCGCUAGUAAUCGCAGAUCAGCAACGCUGCGGUGAAUACGUUCCCGGGUCUUGUACACACCGCCCGUCAAGUCAUGAAAGUCGGUAACACCUGAAGCCGGUGGCCCAACCCUUGUGGAAGGAGCCGUCCAAAGUGGGAUCGGUAUUAGGAUAAUCGACA